CCUACGGGUGGCAGCAGUAGGGAAUCUUUCACAAUGGGCGAAAGCCUGAUGGAGCAACGCCGCGUGCAGGAUGAAGGCCUUCGGGUUGUACACUGCUUUUAUAAGCGAGAAAUAUGAUGGUAACUUAUGAAUAAGGAUCGGCUAACUACGUGCCAGCAGCCGCGGUCAUACGUAGGAUCCGAGCAUUAUCCGGAGUGACUGGGUGUAAAGAGUUGCGUAGGUGGCAUAAUAAGUAGCUAGUGAAAUCUGGUGGCUCAACCAUUCAGACUAUUAGCUAAACUGUUAAGCUCGAGACCGUUAGGGGUAACUGGAAUUGCUAGUGUAGGAGUGAAAUCCGUAGAUAUUAGAAGGAACACCAAUAGCGUAGGCAGGUUGCUGGGACGGUUCUGACACUAAGGCACGAAAGCGUAGGGAGCAAACGGGAUUAGAUACCCGUGUAGUC
rnacentral:rRNA from 1 species